CGUAGGUGCAAGCGUUGUCCGGAAUUAUUGGGCGUAAAGAGCUCGUAGGCGGUUUGUCGCGUCGGCUGUGAAAGCCCGGAGCUCAACUCCGGGUCUGCAGUCGAUACGGGCAGACUUGAGUGUUGCAGGGGAGACUGGAAUUCCUGGUGUAGCGGUGAAAUGCGCAGAUAUCAGGAGGAACACCGGUGGCGAAGGCGGGUCUCUGGGCAACAACUGACGCUGAGGAGCGAAAGCGUGGGAGCGAACAGGAUU
rnacentral:rRNA from 1 species